UCUAUACAGCCACACAUAUACAUUGCCUAAUAGCCCAAAAGGGAACUCCCAGCUCUUGCCCCUUAAGCUUAUUGCUGCUGCCAAGGAAGUAGCCUUACACACUGCCAACCAAAAAUUAUAACUCGUGUUAACUUGUAUAUACAUAUGCUUACUAUUUUGGUUUUCAAUUCAAAGCAGCUUCACCAAGCAUCCUCAACACAAUAAAAGUAGCUCAACAUUUUAGCCACAAAAAAGAGUAACUGCAGCAGCACAACGUACUCAGCAGUGCGCUGGUGCGCGACUGCAACUGCUGCUGGCAGCAGUUGCUCAAACCCAACAGCCCGUUUUGCGGCCUUAUAACUUUUAGCUCGUAUACCAAAUUAAAGCAAACUCUAAGUAUGUUAUACAUACCAUAUGAGUCUGUAUUUAGAGGUUAUAACCUCUUCAUUUCAGGUUUUAUACGAUGUCCAAAACAGUGUUCAUACAUGCUUUGCUGCACUAAAUUUUUCUUACUUUCGUUUUGCCUAGAAAUUGCUUUUCGCUCUAAUCUAGUACCUUCAAACUUGGGCAGCAUUAAGAUUGUAUUUCAUAGUAUUUUAGAAAAAUAUAACUCUUCUAAUUUGGGCAUCCUAGACAGGUUAAACAGAGCGCUAAAACUGCCUUGUCGAAACAGUUUUUAAUUUUUUUCCAACUGUACCCUCUCUUGCUCAAACAGCCAUAACUUUUUCGUUUCAAAACAUUUUUGAGCGAUUCUUGAGCCCACGCGAAGCUAACUUCCGGGGCUACAACUUUUAUUCUUUGACCAUUUUCAAAUUCGUAACACAAAAUUCCAGAAAAUUCGUGCAAGGGGACUGCUCCGAAUUUGUUAGACAGAUUUAACGCCAUUGCUUUGAACGGGCAUAACUCGUUGCUCCGAAGUCGGAAUUAGUCCGUUCCGGAGUCUUUGGAAAGCUUAUUCAGUGUACUAUAACAUACCAAAAGCCCAGAAUUUUUUGAACAUCCUAGCUAACCCCGAAUUUUCAUUUUAGGGUCAGCAGUUCACAAUUUUUCGGUUUCUAACAUGUUUAUUUCACAACCUUAUUACUUCUAGCUCAUAUACUAAAUUAGAACAAAUUUUAAAUAUGUUUUACAUAGCAUAUGAGACUGCAUUUAAAAGUUAUAACCUUUCCAUUUCAGCUUCAAUAAGCUGCCCAAAACAGAGUUUCCAAAUGACUUGACAUACUAACUCUAACUUUUCAUUGUUAACUAGAAAUUGAGCUUUGUUCUAGCUUGACACACUCAAACCCUCUAGUUAACAUCACAUAUGAUUAAUAAAUCAAUCCCAAGCUCUAAUUCUACCAAAGUUCUGAUUUUAGAUAAAAACAGUUCAUUGAAGCAUUUUAACAAACACCUUACGUACACAGUUUUAAAACACUCUUUUCAUAGCUAUUGGUUUGUUUUAGAAACCCAGUUUAGCUCCCUUAUUGCUCCACACAACCCAGCCUAUUCUCCUUUGUUCUAUUCCAUACAUAACAGUAAAAUAGCUUAACAAGAAUCAUGCAUAACAGUUAACAUAGCAACUAAAAUCAAUAUAGCAGUCAUUCAAGUCUGUUUCAGGCCAUUCGGCAAUUACAGUCCACUAGUAGCAAGAAAAAUGGAAUGGAAAGGAUUAGAAAGAGCUUACCUUGAUAGUUCAAAGAUUACAAUUGAUUGCUGUUCAAUCUCUUCUCCUUCUCAGUCGUUGCCUUACUGUUCUAUCUUUGUGACUACUAUACUUUGGAGCUCAGUGAAGUGGUAGGACUAACUGAGCUUGAGGUUCAUUAUAUGGCCAUAAAUGGUUGAGUUUCCUUCUCUCUCAUCAAUCUACAUGACCCCUAGCUUAUAUCUUAUUUCACAUAGCACUCCAUUACACCUAGCAGUCAGACUGCUUCUGCAGUGGCUCCUAAUAAGCUCUCUAGCAAGCCUACUUGACCCUUUGCAGUCUACUUGCCCCUUGUAUUUUGGCUUCUAGCAACUCAAUAAUGCACCUUAGCCUCUAACUAAUUACUAACCAAUUAACUGAUCACUCUCUUGGAACUAAAU
rnacentral:lncRNA from 1 species